rnacentral:misc_RNA from 1 species
AAAGGCUUUCACAAAAUGAAUCAACUCUCUAAUGGCUUCUCAUGUCUGAAUUUGGAUGUCGCCGAUAGCCAGGAUGACACAAAAACUCUUGGGGAAACUGAGACAGUAAAUGGAAGAGGUAAAGCCAAGGAAAAAGAUGACAACUCAGGAGAGUACGAAUUGCCACUUGUAUGGAUUGACCUUGAGAUGACUGGUUUGGAUAUUGAAGUUGAAAGGAUAUUGGAGAUUGCUUGUAUAAUUACUGAUGGAAACUUGACCAAAUCAAUUGAGGGUCCUGAUUUAGUUAUACAUCAAACUAAGGAGUGUCUGGACAAUAUGGGAGAAUGGUGUCAGACCCAUCAUGCAGCGAGUGGUUUGACUCAGAAGGUGCUCGAGAGUACCAUCACUGAAGAAGAAGCCGAGAAGCAGGUUGUUGAAUUUGUCAAGAGAAAUAUAAGGACUUAUACACCACUGCUCGCAGGAAAUUCAAUCUAUACGGAUCUUCUUUUUCUGAAGAAGUUCAUGCCAAAUUUGGCAAGUUUGUUUUCG